GUGGGGAAUAUUGGACAAUGGGGGGAACCCUGAUCCAGCCAUGCCGCGUGUGUGAAGAAGGCCUUUUGGUUGUAAAGCACUUUAAGCGAGGAGGAGGCUUACCUGGUUAAUACCUAGGAUAAGUGGACGUUACUCGCAGAAUAAGCACCGGCUAACUCUGUGCCAGCAGCCGCGGUAAUACAGAGGGUGCGAGCGUUAAUCGGCUUUACUGGGCGUAAAGCGCGCGUAGGUGGUUAAUUAAGUCAAAUGUGAAAUCCCCGAGCUUCACUUGGGAAUUGCAUUCGAUACUGGUUAGCUAGAGUAUGGGAGAGGAUGGUAGAAUUCCAGGUGUAGCGGUGAAAUGCGUAGAGAUCUGGAGGAAUACCGAUGGCGAAGGCAGCCAUCUGGCCUAAUACUGACACUGAGGUGCGAAAGCAUGGGGAGCAAACAGGAUUAGAAACCCGGGUAGUCC
rnacentral:rRNA from 1 species